ACCCAGCGGCGGCGGGAGGAGGGGAGUGCGUUUUCAUCACCCCAAGUUGGCCAAGCUCCGUGCCAGGUUUCAUCUUACUUCAUUCUGAUUAUCGACAUCUCACUGCCGAGGAAACAGACUUGCAGACACCGAUGAGAAAACUUAGGAGCCAGCUGGGGAGGGAGGACUGGCCCAAAGUCACAGUCAACAGGAGGAAGCGGCGCGCGCCUAGCUACGCAAAACCGCAGGAUGGAAAAACGCAGAGCAGAACGCACCCUGACCUGGCAGAGCAUCUGUAGUGGAGAGAAUGGGAUUUUAGAGGAACGCUGAAAAUAAAACAAGAAAACAAAAGACCAGAGGAAAGUAUUGCUAGGGUGAAGAGGGAGCGCCUUGGCUCCUUUGCCACCAACCCAGCCCCAGUGAGAGUUUACCCCCUAACUUUGAGGGUGCCCUCCCAUCCCCAGAGCCCUUGGUUUUACGUCUAAGUACACUCCCCUUGCAGGGAAGCGCCAGCUCCGUGACCCUGGUUCUCUAAACAUUUUCCUUGCAGACUCCUAAAAGAAUUUUGAAAAUCUGUGUACCCCUUGCACAUUUUUAGGUGCAAACAUUUAAAUUGUUUUC
rnacentral:lncRNA from 1 species